GUGAUCACAUUUUGUUUGUUUUUUUAUUGUUUUUGUGCUGAGCAGAUGAGUCCAGAACCCCAAUUAUUGCUGUAGUGGUUGUUCUUGCUGUCGGCCUCAUUGCUGUUAUUGGAUUUACUGUUUACAAAAUGAAAAAAGCCAAUCGCCCUCAACCUCCUCCUGUCAACAGCUCUGAGCUCUCUGAGAGACUGAAGCCAGAAACAUGAUUGACAAACACCCCACCCAGCACACAGUGAUGUCAUGUUGACAACAAAACAGUAACAGUAAAUGCUGGGACUGUGCUAAGUAUUCACACCUCCAGUCAGGGUCUGAAAUUAGCACCCACCAAAUGUGGGUAAAUUCCUGACAGCGGCGGGUCAAGUCAUCGGGCCAUCCGCCACUUUGGCGAACAGGGAAAAUGCACAUGUUGUAGUGUAUUGUGGCGUUUGGUGCACACUCCUGUGUGACACAACACACACACCCCCACCAGUCAGCUCAGGGAGUGUCUCUCUGGCAGUGUUUCAGACCAAACUCACCAGAAAAGAGGCACAGUCCAUCCUGCGUGACAGCCAGUGACUGAAGGUAACUCUGGUGCGGUCUUCUUCUUCUUUUGUUUUUAUGGCAGGUUGCAACCAUGCAACCAUAAGGUGCAUACUACCAGCUAAUUUACCUGCAUGAAUUAUCGUUAAGUGAGACUACUUUACUUUAUCAUAAUUAUUUUUAAAAACAACAACCUAUUAGCCUAUAUAACCCUUUAUCCUUCAGGUAUUCCACAACAGCUUUCUGUGUCUCUGGUGCUGUCGGAGAAUAAGUUUGUCUAUUAGACGCAAGAGGAAUCACUUGGUUUUUCAGAGGCCCACUUUUGUAUUGAAACUGAGUAUUUUUUGUAGCAGGUUUUUGUUGAGAUCUUGUGGAGACUUGAACUGUGAUAAACAUUGUGUAUCUUGUUGUCUGUUGGUUCACUGUGAAAGAUAAGGUAAGGUGGGGUUGAUUCUCAUGUGCUGAAAGACAUAGGUCCUUUUUACAUGUAGCAUUUUUGUGCAAAUAUACCUAAAUGAGCUGAAUGUUAUUCCUUCAUUUAGCACAUAAAUUUCAGUGAGAAAAGUGAAUUUCAGACCCUGCCUACAGUUAAACAAGCUUCCGUAAGUUAAAAGUAAAAGAAACCUUCUGAGAUUGUUUUGCCAUUCACUGUGAAACAUCUGUG